rnacentral:lncRNA from 1 species
GGAUUGCCUGAAACAAAAUCAGCAUGAUGUGGAAUUGGAAAGUUCAAUGGAGAAGGUCUAUGCUUGAAAGGUUUGCAAAGCCUUAAUCUUUGUUUGAAUCGUGAUAAUCACUUUGUUUUGGGAUUGGUUUCAUCCAAUUGAAUAUGCUUUAGUUGGCACACCAGAUCCUAUUUACAUGCGGUACAUAGUAUCUGAUCCCAAAAAAAAUUAGUUAAUUAAUUUGUUGAUUUAG